rnacentral:rRNA from 1 species
CAGCAGCCGCGGUAACACGAAGGGGGCUAGCGUUGCUCGGAAUGACUGGGCGUAAAGGGCGCGUAGGCGGCUUGUAUAGUCAGAUGUGAAAUUCCUGGGCUCAACCUGGGGACUGCAUUUGAUACGUGCAGGCUUGAGUGUGGAAGAGGGUCGUGGAAUUCCCAGUGUAGAGGUGAAAUUCGUAGAUAUUGGGAAGAACACCGGUGGCGAAGGCGGCUCACUGGACCGACACUGACGCUGAGGCGCGAAAGCGUGGGGAGCAAACAGGAUUAGAUACCCGGGUAGUCCCUGUCUCUUAUAC